AUGAAUGCACGGUUCAUGGUCGCGGGCCGUGGGUACCGCCGGACGGUGAUUGGCGCGGCGCAGCAGGUGAAUACGCGGUUCACGUUCGACGUCCCCCGCGGGAAGCUGUCCUUCGUGUCGGAGGAGUGCGCGCUCCCGGGAGCAUCAACGGAUUUCCGGUGGGUUCAGCUACUACAUUACAAUAUCACUCCUUAUACAGGACUAGCCUGCUUGAGUAAUUUAUGUACCACGAACGAUGUACUUUAA
rnacentral:rRNA from 1 species